ACUGAAGUAAUAGUGCAGGUGCUUGUUAGAGAACAAGGGUACUGAGCGUGACCAAGACAAGAAGUCACUUGGAUGUCUAUCCACUCGUCAGUGACUUGCUUGAUGUUGCAGUAGUGUGACUGGUCCUUUGACCUGCGACGCUUCGGCUACUCACAGUGAGGUUAUUGUAGUUUGACUGCACAUAUACAUGGUCUCUAGCCAUAUGGGUCCAUGCAGUGUAGAUUGGCUGCAGUAGGUUCACUGUAGGAGUAGGGUAUGUACCUAUAAGGAAUCUAUCGAUCUUGAUAGAUAAGGAGAGAUCCUAUGUGAUUUAUAAGACUGAGUUCGUAAGACCUCGGCCGGGACAGAUUGCAUAGUGGAGAAAGAGUUCUCCGCUCUCGAACUUAAGUCGAAUAAAUCUUGACAUAUGACAGACGAAGGGGUUUGACGAGUUAUCCAUGACCUCC
rnacentral:lncRNA from 1 species